UCCCUGGUGGCUCAGACGGUAAAGCGUCUGCCUGCAAUGCAGGAGACCUGGGUUCGAUUCCUGGGUCUGGAA
rnacentral:tRNA from 1 species